GACACAGUUCUAUAGAGAAUGUAAAGAAAAGCAGACAUGCCGCGAGAUGGAGUGAUUUUUUUUCUUUUUCCUUUUUUUUUUUUUUUUUUAAGAGAAAUCUGGUGAGAGAGAGAGAUAGAAAAUGUGGCUCAGGAUAAUGAAGGAACUUGGAGAUAUAAGGUUGGCUCAGCUUGUGAGUUUUUCAGUUCCAGCAUAUGUGUGUCCUUAUUAUCAACCCUCUUUUUUAUGAAGGGAACUUGUGUGAGACCUUCUGUUCCUCAUACGGGAGAUCCUGACUAAAACACAAGCGAUAAAGAGCGAAGGGAACCAGUCCAGAAGCAUCCUGUCCCUCCUCAGAAACAAUGACUGCGACCAUGCUUACCAGGGGUCCUCAGCACUGGAGGUGCCUAUACCCAGCUGGAGGCAAGAAGACUACAGUAACUACGUCUUGGUGUUUGAAGAGAGCCUUGAGCAUCAUUAACCUUUAUAAAAGGUCUUUUUUUUUUUUUUUUUUUUUUUUAAUUAGUGUGCUUGGAAAACUUUGGGUUCCUAACAUUUUUUUCCAAGUUAAAAGAUGUAUCAUAAUGUGAAUUGUUUUGGUUUUCAUCACAUGAUUAGGUAUCAGUAGAGUCCCAACUUAUGAACCAUUAUUUCUAUUUCUAUUCAGUAUCCCCUUAUGUUUUCUUACUUUCCUUUUUAAUUCAUUGAGUGUCUACUAUACUCCAGUCAAAUUUGCAGUCUAGCUUGGGAGAGAAUGACACAUAUACAUAUAUAAUUACAAGCAAAGUAAUAGAUGAUAUACAUCACAAGAGUGAUGACAACCUAACGUUCAUUGUGCUCAAGUUGCAAAGUGGUAUCUGGUGAUACAGCUGAUUUCAAGAUUUCUCGGUUUGCUUAUAUGAUCCUUGAUUUUUAAUUUUCUCUAAAUCUUCUUCCUUGAACUGCUGCUCUCUGACUUCAAAAGCAUUGCUCUGGUGAUGUACAGAAAACGUUCCUUACUCUGAGAUACUUCCUAUACGCUUCUGUCAUCAAAAUAUUUACCUACAGUCAUUGUAAUUGGACAAUAACAUGCAUUAUCAUUUGUACCCAGUCCAAAGGAAGGCUUAGGUUAAAAAUAUCAUGCUUAGAUGAUAGGAUAUCCCUGGAAACAAGUAAUAGUCAUAUCGAAUCUUGAUUCAAUUUGGUAAAUAUUAUCUGACUUCUGGGAAAUCAUGAGACAUAUUGUAGCAACAGAGCAGCAUGUCUCCUACAAUAACCUUUUUAUUUAUUUAAUCCAGCUCAUUAAUAAAGAUCUUCUUUUCAUUUUCCUGAUGUACAAAUACUCCAAAAACCACAGGCUCACAUUUUGACAGCUAAUUUUGCAGGAUAUAAUUUUCCUGCUUAACCCAAGAGGAAAAAGAGACGGAUGAUUGAGAUUAAUCAUUUGUAAAAUUAUAAUUCUGUCACAGAUAAUAAUUUGCAAGAUCUUUUCUUUUUCUGAAUUCCCCAGAAUGCACCAUAAAUUGUCACACUUUGUAAGAGAAUGUGUAACACAUUAGGAGACUUCUAAUAAAGCAAAUCUGCUAGAAAAACAAA